AGAGGAUUAGCUCAGCUGGGAGAGCGUCUGCCUUACAAGCAGAAUGUCGGGGGUUCGAAUCCCUCAUCCUCUACCA
rnacentral:tRNA from 3 species